CAUCUUUCCAAAAUUGUUGUGGAGGCAUGUUAGCCCUGGGCAUUUUUUCAUAUUUUUUUGCUUCAUCUAUUAAUGUUAUACAUUGACUGAUCCGGGGAAUAGUUUGCGAUUUCCAUUGACGGCUAAUAAGUGUCAAUACCGCUAAUAGUAUAUGGUAUAUUAGGUAUCGUGGUGUUUUUGUGAGGUCCGGAGGCAUAUAUUG